CCCCUGCCCGCGUCGGGGAAAUGAUGCGGGAUCCUCCCUGUUGGACUGGCCCGGGCAUUCGCCCGGGCUUCUUU
rnacentral:ncRNA from 1 species